GAGCCGUGAUGACUAAUGCGCCACUGUGGAUGGAGGGUCCUCCACAUUUAACAGAUUGAAAGAUGAAUAUUGGCGGUUACUGAGCUC